rnacentral:rRNA from 1 species
UACAGAGGGUGCAAACGUUGUUCGGAAUCACUGGGCAUAAAGCGUACGUAGGCGGCGUCGUAAGUGUCGGAUGAAAUCCCACGGCUUACCCGUGGAACGGUCCGGCAUACUGCGGUGCUAGAGGAUGGUAGAGGAGAGCGGAACUCUUGGUGGAGCGGUGAAAUGCGUAGAUAUCAAGAGGAACACCGGUGGCGAAGGCGGCUCUCUGGUCCAUGUCUGACGCUGAGGUACGAAAGCCAGGGGAGCAAACGGGAUUAGAUACCCCGGUAGUCCUGGCCGUAAACGAUGGGCACUAACUAGAAGUCUCACCUGUGGGAUUUCUGGUGAAGCAAAUGUGAUAAGUGCCCCGCCUGGGAAGUAUGGUCGCAAGGCUAAA